GACCUCCGAGCCGGAUACAUGUGUAACUCAUAAAUAUACAAAUAUACAAAGGAUGUGAGGCUGCCUAUUUCAUUCCAGUUCUAAUUUCGAUUGCUUUGUCUUUUUUAAAUAUUGAUGGAGGACACUACCCACUUGGGUCCUUCGAACCGGAUACUGACAUAUCCACCAACUUCGGUUCCCAGUGUGCACAGAUCCGCCGCCGCGUCCGCCUGCAGCCACCCACUCGCGUUUUGGGUGCUGAGUGUUUUACAGCCUCCGGCACUUGCCUUCUUUUCUCGGCCCAAAAGGGGCUCGGCGAGGCGGCCUGCCUCCUGGGCUGCCAUUGCCCCUGGUCCUCCGUAGCGGAGUCGUGAGCUCGGGGCACGAUUUUCCAUAGCACAUGCUGCGUUCUGGUCGCGGAACGUGGCCGCUUGUUGGCUUGUUGUCUUUGUUAGUGGUAGCAGUUAGUUGACUGCACUUACCACUAAGUUAAGAUGUUUUUGUCUCCGCAGUCUGUCUGGCCGAGGUGUAUGCGCAAUUAUCGUGGACAGGCGAGUCCCAGGCCCGCGGAUCGGGAUCCAGCAGCCAGAGCGACUCCAUCGGAGCUGGAACUGGAAUGCCGCUGCUUAGUUUUUCUUUUUAUUGAUUUAUGAUUUGUUUAACAC
ensembl:ncRNA lncRNA:CR43613 long non-coding RNA:CR43613